rnacentral:rRNA from 1 species
GACGAACGCUGGCGGCGUGCUUAACACAUGCAAGUCGAACGGAAAGGCCCUGCUUUUGUGGGGUGCUCGAGUGGCGAACGGGUGAGUAACACGUGAGUAACCUGCCAUUGACUUUGGGAUAACUUCAGGAAACUGGGGCUAAUACCGGAUAGGAGCUCCUGCUGCAUGGUGGGGGUUGGAAAGUUUCGGCGGUUGGGGCUGGACUCGCGGCUUAUCAGCUUGUUGGUGGGGUAGUGGCUUACCAAGGCUUUGACGGGUAGCCGGCCUGAGAGGGUGACCGGCCACAUUGGGACUGAGAUACGGCCCAGACUCCUACGGGAGGCAGCAGUGGGGAAUAUUGCACAAUGGGCGGAAGCCUGAUGCAGCAACGCCGCGUGCGGGAUGACGGCCUUCGGGUUGUAAACCGCUUUCGCCUGUGACGAAGCGUGAGUGACGGUAAUGGGUAAAGAAGCACCGGCUAACUACGUG